rnacentral:ncRNA from 1 species
UCCCCGCUCCUCCUCCCUGAGCGGGGAAGUUCCGGAACUUGUUUCCGGAACGUUGUUGGGCCCCGGACUCUCUCCCCUUGUUUCCGGGGCUUUUUUU